rnacentral:rRNA from 1 species
AUUGAACGCUGGCGGCAGGCCUAACACAUGCAAGUCGAGCGAGCGGCGGACGGGUGAGUAAUGUAUGGGGACUGCCCGAUAGAGGGGGAUAACUACUGGAAACGGUGGCUAAUACCGCAUACUAUCGGAUAACCCAUAUGGGAUUAGCUAGUAGGUGGGGUAAAGGCUCGCCGAGGCGACGAUAGCUAGCUGGUCUGAGAGGAUGAUCGGCAACACGGGAACUGAGACACGGCCCAGACUCAUACGGAGGCAGAAGUGGGGAAUAUUGGACAAUGGGCGAAAGCCUGAUGCAGCCAUGCCGCGUGUAUGAAGAAGGCCUUAGGGUUGUAAAGUACUUUCAGCGGGGCGGCGUUAACCGAAGAAGAAGCAACGGCUAACUCCGUGCCAGCCGCCGCGGUAAUAC